rnacentral:rRNA from 1 species
UGGGGAAUUUUGCACAAUGGGGGAAACCCUGAUGCAGCGACGCCGCGUGAUUUAGAAGGCCUUCGGGUUGUAAAAAUCUUUUUUAUGGGAUGAAAAUGACAGUACCAUAAGAAUAAGGUCCGGCUAAAUACGUGCCAGCAGCCGCGGUAAUACGUAUGGACCGAGCGUUGUCCGGAAUCAUUGGGCGUAAAGGGUACGUAGGCGGCCUAGUAAGUUAGAAGUGAAAUAAUAUAGCUCAACUAUAUAAAGCUUUUAAAACUGUUAGGCUUGAGAGAUGAAAGGGAAAGUGGAAUUCCUAGUGUAGCGGUGAAAUGCGCAGAUAUUAGGAAGAAUACCGGUGGCGAAGGCGACUUUCUGGUCAUCAUCUGACGCUGAGGUACGAAAGUGUGGGUAGCAAACAGG